rnacentral:rRNA from 1 species
CCCACUUUGUAUUGGAGCACUGCCUGCCCAGUGACGACCGUUAAACGGCCGCGGUGUCCUGACCGUGCAAAGGUAGCAUAAUCACUUGUUCUCUAAAUAGGGACUUGUAUGAAUGGCCACACGAGGGUUUUACUGUCUCUUACUUCCAAUCAAUGAAAUUGACCUUCCCGUGAAGAGGCGGGAAUAUACUAAUAAGACGAGAAGACCCUAUGGAGCUUUAACUACUUAGCCCAAAGAAACAAAUUUCAUUACUAAGGAAACAACAACACUCUUUAUGGGCUAACAGCUUUGGUUGGGGUGACCUCGGAGAACAAGAAAUCCUCCGAGCGAUUUUAAAGACUAGACCUACAAGUCGAAUCACAUAAUCGUUUAUUGAUCCAAAAAGAAAAUUGAUCAACGGAACAAGUUACCCUAGGGAUAACAGCGCAAUCCUAUUCAAGAGUCCAUAUCGACAAUAGGGUUUACUACCUCGAUGUUGGAUCAGGACAUCCCGAUGGUGCAACCGCUAUCAAAGGUUCGUUUGUUCAACGAUUAAAGUCCUACGUGAUCUGAGUUCAAACCGGAGA